rnacentral:rRNA from 1 species
GACAGAGGGUGCAAACGUUGUUCGGAUUUACUGGGCGUAAAGCGCGUGUAGGCGGCUUUGCAAGUCGGAUGUGAAAGCCCACGGCUCAACCGUGGAAGUGCAUCCGAAACUGCAUGGCUCGAGUCUCGGAGAGGAAGGUGGAAUGCUUGGUGUAGAGGUGAAAUUCGUAGAUAUCAAGCAGAACACCUGCGGCGCAGGCGGCCUUCUGGACGAUGACUGACGCUGAGACGCGAAAGCGUGGGGAGCAAACAGG